rnacentral:rRNA from 1 species
CAGUCGCCGCGGGAAUACGUAGGGUGCGAGCGUUAAUCGGAAUUACUGGGCGUAAAGCGUGCGCAGGCGGUUGUGUAAGACAGGUGUGAAAUCCCCGGGCUUAACCUGGGAACUGCGCUAGUGACUGCACAGCUAGAGUAUGGCAGAGGGGGGUGGAAUUCCACGUGUAGCAGUGAAAUGCGUAGAGAUGUGGAGGAACACCGAUGGUGAAGGCAGCCCCCUGGGCCAAUACUGACGCUCAUGCACGAAAGCGUGGGGAGUAAACAGGAUUAGAUACCCCCGUAGUCCCUGUCUCUUAUAA